rnacentral:rRNA from 1 species
AGCGAACGCUAGCGGCGGGCCUAACACAUGCAAGUCGAGCGGAGAGCUUCGGUUCUUAGCGGCGGACGGGUGAGUAACGCGUAGGUAAUGUGCCUUCUGGUGGGGAACAACCGUGCGAAAGCAUGGCUAAUACUGCAUAUGUCGAGAGAUGAAAGCCCUCGGGCGCCAGUAGAGCAGCCUGCGUCCCAUUAUUUAGUCCUAGUUGGUGAGGUAACGGCUCACCAAGGGUACGAUGGGUAGCUGGUCUGAGAGGAUGAUCAGCCACACUGGAACUGAGACACGGUCCAGACUCCUACGGGAGGCAGCAGUGGGGAAUAGUUGCGCAAUGGGCGAAAGCCUGACGCAGCCACGCCGCGUGAGUGAUGAAGGCCUUCGGGUUG